UACGAAGGGGGCUAGCGUUGCUCGGAAUCACUGGGCGUAAAGCGCGUGUAGGCGGGUCGGUAUGUCGGACGUGAAAUCCCUAGGCUCAACCAUGGAACUGCUGGGCAUACUGGCGAUCUUGUGCCACCUAGGGGCGAGCGGAACAGAUGGUGGAGCGGUGAAAUGCGUAGAUAUCAUCUGGAACGCCAAUGGUGAAAACAGCUCGCUGGGGGUGUGCAGACGCUGAGACACGAAAGCCAGGGGAGCGAACGGG
rnacentral:rRNA from 1 species